rnacentral:lncRNA from 1 species
UCACGCCAUUCUCCUGCCUCAGCCUCCCGAGUAGCUGGGACUACAGGCGCCCGCCACCACGCCCAGCUAAUUUUUUCUAUUUUUAGUAGAGACGGGGUUUCACCGUGUUAGCCAGGAUGGUCUCGAUCUCCUGACCUCGUGAUCUGCCCGCCUCGGUAAAUAACAAACAUUGGCGAAGAUGUGGAGAAACUGAAACCCUUAUGCACUGCUGGUGAGAAUGUCCAAUGGUACAGCUGCUGGGUGUAUAUCAUUUUUUCUUACGUGCUUCAAAUAGUAACAUAUCUAUUCCCUCACCCUAUGACAAAUCUCAAUACAAUGCUGAUGUCAAUCUUUAGUCUUCUCCUCUCCAGGCCAAACAAUCCUAGUUUUCUCAUGGCAGUGUCUUGAUCAUUCACUACCCUAAGUCUCCUCUGGGUGCUUUCUAAUUUACUCCUAAUGUUCUUUCUAAAAUGCUCACCUAAAUUCUGUAUAAUCUGGACAACACAUGGUACAGUAGAACUAUUUUUUGCCCAUGCUCUUACUGCUGUAUAUUACUCUUACUGCUGGAUAUUACCAUAAAACCUAACAUUGUAUUAGGCUUCAAUUAGAGUUCACAUCAGAGUGUUGCUUCAUAUAUUUAAAAGCACAGAUUUUAUAGCAAUUAAUUAAAUGAACAUAAUUUAAAAGAGUUGCUGUUAACUAUAAACUUAGAAAAGUCUAUACAUAAAAAUCUUUAUGAAGAAAUUCAUCCUCAGAUACCGUAUAACAGCAGAAUGUGUUAUAUACUAUUAUGACUGUAAUUCACAGCAUACAUAUACUAUGUGGCAUUGAUAUAAUUAUGGUCACAGAAAAGGUAUAUUUGUUAAUACUUAUUUUAUUUGGAUAUAAAAACUUAAUAAACAUGUAAAUGAAUUCAACCUUUAAUUGCCAAACCUGGCAUUAAAGAACUUGAUAUGAAAUGAACACAUAACUUCAGAAAAGAGAUCUUGAGUACUAAAAAUCCAAUGUGAACACACUUUAGAUUUAAGCAUUUGAAUGACUGAAUUCAUUUCAAUUGACACUUACCUUGAACAUUUAGCACCCUUUCUACAUUAACAUCAGAUAAUCUCUUUUUUCGAAGUUCAGCACGUAUUCUAAACACUUGAUCAGCAUAUGGAGUCACCACACCAAUACUGCCAUCAUCUAACUUCCCCCACGCUACUGGCCACUUCCUUCUUAACUCUUCUACACGUUCCACCACUUCAAACACCUUUAAAAACAAACACACACAUACAUAUUAAAGUUAUCACCAAUGUUUGGAGAAAAUAAUAUCGUAACUAAAACUGAUUUAUAAAGGAUCCCAUUUUAGCAGAUGUCAUUUAAAAAAAAAAAAAAACUACCCCUAAAUGGGAGUAAUGCUUUGCUGAUGUGAACUGAAUGAGAAUAUAAAUUUUUCAUUUACAUUUUAAACAGUAAAAUUCUCCAAUAAUACAACCAGUGAAAACAUGAAAAUCAGGGACAAUGCUAUUGGCCCCCAAGUUCCUGUGUAGGGAGGAACAAGCUCAAGUUCCUGUGUGGGAAAAAGACAGGCCAUGAUUCUAGGGAAGGCAAGUUCUCACAGCCCCAGUAAUUCUCAGUCCACUCUCUCCAGAUCAGGCCAAUGAAACUAACCAACCAACUAGAAGCUUCCUGUCAUCAGUGACAUCACUAAGUCCCAGCAGUACAAGGUCUAACAUUGUCCCCUUCCUCACUGAUAUAACUAAGCAGACCAGCCAACAGCCACCAAUUGACAACAAACCACAGCUGGGACUAGGCCACAUUUGGAUCACAGAGAAAGACUUUCAGAAUUCACUGCCUGCUAGUGGUACAAGUCCAGCCAAGCCAUUUCAUUAACCUUGCAAUAAAGCAAUGCCACAGUUUAUGCAACUGAAUUUUUCAGACCCCAAUUACUGGAUUAUGAUAGGGUUUUUAGGAUAGUUUGUUCUAUUUUAAUUCAAUGAAUUGAUCAAACAGUUUCAAUGUCUGGCACAGUGGAGAAGGUACAAAAGUUAAUAAAACAUGUUCCUUGCCCGCUACUUACUGAGAAGAACUUAUGGUUUAUUUAGAAAAGAGAGUCAUAAUAAAAAAAAUAUAUAAGGCAAGCACAAAUAGAGGGUCAGUCAAGAGUCCAGGGGCAUACAGAGGAAGGAGGUGUGUUUUCAAAUGUCUUUAAGUACAUCGUUUCUUUAUUAUUUACUAACAGUAUCUAUUUUAAUUUAUAAUAUUAAAUAUAUUUAAUAAAAAUUGACAAUUUUCAUCCUUUGAAAAACUUGAGGUUACUGACUACGAAGCAGUUCCCAUGUCCAGAUACAAAUUCAGUGAACUACAGAGGUAAGGACUACAGUCAUCCUAUCGUUAUUAUGAUACAGCAGCAAGUGUAUCACAUACACAGACUACCCAGGGAAGGUGAAGAGCAAACUGGACUAAAGACAUGGCAUUCUCACUAUCAGGAAACAGAGUAGACAUACUCAGUCUACUGCAAUAAGGAAUAAGAAAAAGUUAUCUUUACCCAUGUGGUUAGAUGUGGGGAUAGAUGAGUUGGGAGACACCUCUGCUGCGCCCUCCCACCCCACAGAGUUCCCACCUCUAAGCAACACACAACCAUUUCUGCACUUUAUCCUCCUGUCAUGUAGUCAAAAAACAGACUUAGAAUGAUGAUAUGAGUCAUUCUGGGAAACCUCUCUCCCAGAAAAACAUCUUCUAAGCUGGUCAAAAUUAGCAAAGACAAUCAUUCAAAGUCUCUAAAGACAGAUCAAAGAGGUUACAAGAAAUUGAGAAGCAUCCAUCUAUUCAACAAAACCUGUAAAAACUCACUGAGAACAGUGGAAGGUUGAGGCCUACAAGCUAUGGACUGCCCCCUUUCCCCCACAGCUCUUACAGAACUGUUUUAACGGCCAAGGGGCAAUUCCCAUCGCCCUAGCUCCCUCCUAUUCCAGGUACUUUUGGCAGCUGGUAAACAUUGGCAGAUUUCAUUUUUCACAGCUUUGUGCUGCAGAAGGCCUAUGAUAAGCAGUUGGUAGUAGUCAGGUGGUACCCAACCCCCAUCUCCUGCUACAUAGGGAGUGGGACAGUGGGUGGCAGUGCAGUC